UGAACCCGGCAGGUCCACAGUAG
rnacentral:piRNA from 1 species